CCUUGUUUCUGGAGAAGCAUUCUUCCCACAUGGGAAAGGCAAGGAUGGUGCUGAGCCUGUCUGCCUCUGUGUUCCCUGGACACCUCCAUUCCAGUGCAAGAGUCUCAUGGUUGAAUUCAUAUUUUAAGUUCUGUUUGUGGGGUUUGGGCAGUUGCCAUUCUGAGGAGGAGCAUAGGAGCAUGGCUUUGCCAAAGUGUCUCCCAAUUAUGAGCACCAUCUUCAAGAGUCCACUUGGAAAAUACUCAAGAGUGGGCUUCUAUGACUUCUGCCUUGCCCUGGAGGUCCAGUAUAGGACCAGCAAGUUAUUUGUGUGUGGACAGCCCAGUCCCAGAAGGAGCUUGGGAAUACAGCAGUAGGCUUUAAAGCUUGCGUGUCUUUUGCCUACGCUUCUGGAAUCCUCAAGUUGUGUUGACCUACCUGGGAACACUGCUGGCUCCAGAAUGCCAAGCUCCAGUAAUUGUAUAAAAUAAAAUUAAAAUACCAGAA
rnacentral:lncRNA from 1 species